CGGGAUAGCUGUUACCUCUAGGAAAGAGAACACCAAAGUCUAGCUGUUGGUUCCAGGCCAGCUCAGGGCAACACUGAGGGCUACUGAUAGUACCAGGCCAGCUCCUGGAUGUCAGGCCUACUUUUCUCCUUAGCAGAGAGGGUCUCCUUGCUAUCCUCUGACCAUGCUACCUCACGCCAAUCCCCAAAGCCAGGAAUAGGUGAGUUGUUUGUAGUAAGAGAACUCCCAUUUUCAUCAGUGGAACUGGACAACUACACUGGUCCAAUUCAGGCAAAUGGAUAGAGUUCACAGCACCAAACCAGGAAAUUUAAGACAAGAAUCAAGUAUGUAAAUCUGUGAGUGCUGUCGUUUCUUGAGGAUGGAAAAUAGGCCAAAUGAAUCCUGCAUUCUAAACCUCAACAGUGGAGCAAUAAUUUCUCUCACAAAUGCUGAAUAUUUUUGGUUCUUUUUACCAGACAAUAGCUUGAUUGCACUGCUAGGUCUCCUCAUUUAAGGAGCAAGGUGAAAAUAGCAAAUAUGGGCAAAGAAGAAAGCCCUAGGCUGGAAGAUAAAGGCCAGGAUAUGUAUGAAAUUAAAGGCAAGCAUUCACUGAAUGUGCUGUCUGAGUCUUACUCCCAGUGGGUGGAGGGGUGGGGUGAGAGGAAGAGGGCUAGCCACCCAGCAUAAUUUAGGUAAAGUUAUGGGAAUGUUCUGCAGACAUUUUCUAAGUAAUCAAAUGCUGCUCAAUUUUUAUUUUUUCACAAUAGCUGUUUGGGCUGAUGUUGCUCAAUCUUAAUACAAACUGCAUUCUUAGUUGAGUACUGAAUGUGAGUGAAUUAUGUGCUUGAACAUUUAACUAAAGCAUAAAUACUUGAAAACCUCUUUAUCAGGCACUGUGCUAGUAGGCCUUGGGAAGUCCAGAGUAAACAAGACUCAUGGAACUUUCAUUCUAGUAGGGAGGCUAACAAGCAACUACUGAAGCCAUUGCAGAGUGAGGUAAGCCAUACAAAGGAAAUAAAGAGUGCUAUGACAGAUCAUCACAGAAAUGGUCCUGAAAGGCCUCUUAGGAGGGAACUUGCAAGGUGAGAAUGGAAGGAUGAGUUAGGAAUUAAAAGACCUAGGAAGUAUGGGAUAUAGAACAAUGCGGUAAAGGAAAUAGCAAGUGCAAAGGCCCAAGUUAUAAAAGAGCUUGUUGUGCUGUAUCAACAGAAAGAAGUCCUGUGUGGUUGAAAGAAUAAAGAGCAAUAAAGAGAGUUCCAGAAGAUGACAUUGCCAGGGCAGGUAGAAGCCUGAUCAUGUUAGACAGUUAGACAUAGUAAAGGUUUUAUUUUGGAGUGAUGGAUUUCAGACUUCUGACUUCCAGAAUUAGGAGAUAAAUGUGUGUUAUUUUAAGUCACCAAGUUUGUGGUGUUUUUUUACAGCAGCCACAGGAAAUUAAUAUAACUGCGAAGGAAAAGAUUUCCCCUGCUCGAGUCUCCCUGCACUCCUACCCAUCUGAGAGAAACAGAACUGUUGAGUAGCUGAUGCAAUUUCAUCCAUAAUAUUGUGGAUUCACCAUUGAUUCAGCAUCUGAUCCUCAGCACUGUAUAUCUAAGAACUCAUUCUCCUUGGUUCAUCAGGCAUGAUCAGAUUAAGGAUUCAUACACACUGACCUAACUCACAGGAGAGAGUUAUAAAUCAGAACACCAAUUUAUUGCCUUGUUCAUGGAAAUAGAAACACUACAUGUGUCAGCUUACUCAGAUCAGCAGCUAAACACUGUUCAGUGUUGAUUGGGAAAUAUAAAGCCAGAAUGAAGGCAGCUGGUUCAUCUUGAUAGCAAAUGUUACCAAAUCUCAUAGUCUGGUGCCCUAAUCUCCAUGGGAUUAGAACAUGUACAUCGACCAGAGAGGUUCUCUUUCUCCUGACUAUGCUGGGACAUUCUGGCAAAUUCUGACUCAUCACUCCCUUUCUAGAAUCCUUAAAGACCAUCAUCACGCUAUUUCAAGAAUAUUCCUUCAGAUGUGUUACAAAGAUUAAAUGUUGAUUUAUGGUAUCUCUAAAGAUUUGGAUUGUAGUCUCAUCAGAAAUAUUUAUUUAUAAGCCAUCUCUUCAUUCACUCGUUGAUUCAUCCAGAAAUGCUAUUCAGUAUUUAUUAAGUGCCAGGCGUUGUGCUAAGAUUUGAGACACAGAGAUAAGAUAAAGGUCCCAUUCUCCAAGACUCUUGUUUUUUUAGUGGAUUAAAAGCUGCUAAUGUAUUCCUUCUGUAGAUAUACAUAAUUUCACCAAUUUCUUGUGACUUCAUGAACCUUAUUUUUGCAAGACAACAUGUCCUAAUUCUUGUCAAAUUUAGGGAUGGUGGUAUUGGGGAGCUACAAACCAGUCAAAUCAAUUCAAUGAAAAAUCCUAUUAUUUGAACAAUUUUAAUCACAUCUGAUUUUGACUAUUUUAUCUAAGUGUUAACAUUUCACUAGUUGAGUGUUACAAUGAGCCUAGCAUUUAAACAGUCUUAGUUAUGUUAACAUUCUUAAAAACAGAGAAGUGGCAGCCAGGCACGGUGGCUCAUGCCUGUAAUCCCAGCACUUUGGGAGGCCGAGGCGGGCGGACGCCUGAGGUCAGGAGUUCAAGACCAGCCUGACCAACACGGAGAAACCUCGUCUCUACUAAAAAUACAAAAUUA
rnacentral:lncRNA from 1 species